CAGAUCUACUUCAUAGGUGUCCCGUUAUUCAGAAUUAAAAGCCACCCCGCCAGCCAAUCAGAAAAGAGCAUUUCUUGUCUCCGGGUGAUAAUACGUAUUAUUUUUGUCAGAUACACAGG